GGGUGCGAUCAUACCAGCACUAGGUUUUUUGAUCCCACCAGAACUCCGCAGUUAAGCGUGCUUGGGCGAGAGUAGUACUAAGUUGGGUGACCACUUGGGAAGUCCUCGUGUUGCACCCC